UGGGGAAUAUUGCACAAUGGGCGCAAGCCUGAUGCAGCCAUGCCGCGUGUGUGAAGAAGGCCUUCGGGUUGUAAAGCACUUUCAGCGAGGAGGAAGGGUAGUGUGUUAAUAGCACAUUGCAUUGACGUUACUCGCAGAAGAAGCACCGGCUAACUCCGUGCCAGCAGCCGCGGUAAUACGGAGGGUGCAAGCGUUAAUCGGAAUUACUGGGCGUAAAGCGCACGCAGGCGGUUUGUUAAGUCAGAUGGGAAAUCCCCGCGCUUAACGUGGGAACUGCAUUUGAAACUGGCAAGCUAGAGUCUUGUAGAGGGGGGUAGAAUUCCAGGUGUAGCGGUGAAAUGCGUAGAGAUCUGGAGGAAUACCGGUGGCGAAGGCGGCCCCCUGGACAAAGACUGACGCUCAGGUGCGAAAGCGUGGGGAGCAAACA
rnacentral:rRNA from 1 species